rnacentral:rRNA from 1 species
AGCGCAGCAGGCGAGAAACUUUACAAUGUGCGAAAGCACGAUAAGGGAACUCUGAGUGCCUCCUAAGGAGGCUGUUCAGGUGUCUAAAAGCACCUGAAGGAAGGGCUGGGUAAGACCGGUGCCAGCCGCCGCGGUAACACCGGCAGCCCAAGUGGUAGCCACGUUUAUUGGGUCUAAAGCGUCCGUAGCCGGCUGGGUAAGUUCCUUGGGAAAUUUGGCUGCUUAACAGUCAAGCUUUCAGGGAAUACUGCUCGGCUUGGGACCGGGAGAGGUCAGAGGUACUCCAGGGGUAGGGGUGAAAUCCAUUAAUCCUUGGGGGACCACCGGUAGCGAAGGCGUCUGACCAGACCGGGUCCGACGGUGAGGGACGAAGGCUAGGGGCGCGAACCGGAUUAGAUACCCGCGUAGU